rfam:Heterocephalus glaber contig129979, whole genome shotgun sequence.
UGUUCUUUGAGUUUGUUUUAUGUGGUUAAGGGAUUCAGCUCUGUUGCUUUCUUUCUUUACCAUUCAUGUUUGGAGCUUUUUGCUGCAAAGAUAUUUUACCCAAAAAUGAACCAGAAGAGAGAGGAAAACACUAGUAG